rnacentral:rRNA from 1 species
UACGGGGGGGUGCGAGCGUUGUCCGGAAUCACUGGGCGUAAAGGGCGCGUAGGUGGCUCUGUAAGUUUGCGGUGAAAGCCCGGGGCUCAACCCCGGGUCUGCCGUGGAUACUGCAAGGCUUGAGUACUGUAGAGGCAGGUAGAAUAUCGGGUGUAGCGGUGGAAUGCGUAGAGAUCCGAUAGAAGACCGGUGGCGAAGGCGGCCUGCUGGGCAGUAACUGACACUGAGGCGCGACAGCGUGGGGAGCAAACAGG